CCCUUAGAUGUUCUGGGCCGCACGCGCGCUACACUGAUGCAUUCAACGAGCCUAUCCUUGACCGACAGGUCCGGGUAAUCUUUGAAUCUGCAUCGUGACGGGGAUAGAUUAUUGCAAUUAUUAAUCUUCAACGAGGAAUGCCUAGUAGGCGCAAGUCAUCAGCUUGCGUCGAUUACGUCCCUGCCCUUUGUACACACCGCCCGUCGCUCCUACUGAUUGGGUGUGCUGGUGAAAUGUUCGGAUCGGCCGUUUGUCGCGGUUUCCGCGUCAUGUGGCUGAGAAGUUCAUUAAACCCUCCCACCUAGAGGAAGGAGAAGUCGUAACA
rnacentral:rRNA from 1 species